GCUCCUCCUCCUCCUCCUCCUCUGUAAGCUCUGGAUGCUAAGGUACAGCUAACCCCCUGCCUCCCCCUCCUCCUCCUCUGUAAGCUCUGGAUGCUAAGGUACAGCUAACCCCCUGCCUCCCCCUCCUCCUCCUCCUCUGUAAGCUCUGGAUGCUAAGGUACAGCUAACCCCCUGCCUCCCCCCUCCUCCUCCUCUGUAAGCUCUGGAUGCUAAGGUACAGCUAACCCCCUGCCUCCUCCUCCUCCUCUGUAAGCUCUGGAUGCUAAGGUACAGCUAACCUCCUCCU
ensembl:lncRNA